rfam:Aedes albopictus isolate Foshan contig56531, whole genome shotgun sequence.
UGUUCUGUGGCUUAGUUGCUAAAAGUGCCGGAUUAGCUAUACGGAGUCGUGGGUUCGAAUCCCCCCAAAAAAA